ACAGCUGGUAGAGUAGUUGUUGGAAGAGAAAUAUCAAGCAAUGGUAGACAAUUUGAUAUUCAGAUUUAGACAAUGAUUCAGUUAUCAGUUUAUUAGGGAUUAGUUCGAGCUAUGAUACGUAGAUAGAGGUAGUGUCGUUGUAUUUUGUGAAAAUUCACUUUAAAUUUGUGGUUAACUGGAUAUGUGCGAGUGAGAAGCAGUGAUAUUUGGAGGGUCAAUUACAAUAUUUAGUUGAAUGUUAUUUCCGAACGUGUUAUUAAACUCUACCAAAAACUUAAAAGUAAGCACAAGUUUUGUCAAACUGUUCCUUCGAUCAAUUUCGACCACUCAUUCAAAAAUGUCUGAAGUUGAUAAGAGGUUCACUCUACCCCAACGAUAUGCUGGAACAAAAGAAAGUGUAUGGACGGAAUACAUACAAAUGGCAAUAGACUAUAAACCGUUGAAUCUUGGACAAGGAUUUCCUU
rnacentral:lncRNA from 1 species